rnacentral:snoRNA from 1 species
GUGAUGUGGCGCGUGAGGGCGGAGUUGUGACGAAAUUCUAUUUCUGA